rnacentral:rRNA from 1 species
UAACAACAGAUGAUGCCUAUCAACUGUUUAAAAGUAUAGGGUUCUGCUAUCACUCUUGGAUGGACCUGCGGUGCAUUAGCUAGUUGGUAGGGUAACGGGCCUACCAAGGCGAUGAUGCAUAGCCGAGUUGAGAGACUGAUCGGCCACAUUGGGACUGAGACACGGCCCAAACUCCUACGGGAGGCAGCAGUAGGGAAUCUUCCACAAUGGACGCAAGUCUGAUGGAGCAACGCCGCGUGAGUGAAGAAGGGUUUCGGCUCGUAAAGCCCUGUUGUUGGUGAAGAAGGACAGGGGUAGUAACUGACCUUUGUUUGACGGUAAUCAAUUAGUAAGUCACGGCUAACUACGUGCCAGCAGCCGCGGUAAU